rnacentral:sRNA from 1 species
AAUAGGAGGUGGAAUUCAGAGCAUCACCUACACCCACAACGGAGACAUCAGCCGAAAGCCCAACACACGUAAGCAGAAGAACGGCUUCCCGCCCAACUUCAUCCACUCGCUGGACUCCUCCCACAUGAUGCUCACCGCCCUGCACUGCUACAGGUGGGUGUCUCCGGACGGCGUGGGUGCCGCUCGCCUCCCAGGGGCGUCUUCUGGCUAGCAGGGCACAGCUGGCAAGGCUGGGUCUAGCAGGGGACAGUGCUGGGGGCAGGGACUGGGCAGAGUGGAUCUGCUGUGUCUGUGGGGCCUGUGCAGAGGCCCUGAGGCUGUGUGCCCCAAAUGUAGGUGGUCCUGGCAGCUCCCCUCCUGUGGCCUGACAGGGAGAGCCGAGCACGGGCGCUGCCCCUUCCUGCUGGGCAUUUCUUGGCACCGCGACGUGUGGUUAGAUCUGUAGCACGUGGAGGCCGUUCCAGCAGAAUCUACUGGCCACGGGAGCUGGGAACGCUCAGGAUGCGGGGCGGUGGCCCUGGCAGGAGGGGACAGCGUAGCCGCCCUCGGAGCGGAGGCUCCACAGCAGCGCGGGGGGCGGCAGGUGUGGGGCGAGGAGGCUUCUGGGAACAUUUCCUCCCCCUGUGCUGAUGCCUAACCCAGGAUGUUUGGGGAGGGGUGAGGCGAGGGGUGGGGCGAGGCCUGCAGGAGGGUGGGCUUCCCUGGACCUCAAGUGGAGGGGGCUGAGCACAGGGCCAGGAUGCUGGUCACCGGGUGGCCCUGUGAGCUCCCCUCCCUUCAGGAGCACUCCGCUCUGCCACAGGAAGGGCCUGACCUUCGUCUCUGUGCACGACUGUUACUGGACCCACGCAGCUGAUGUCUCCGUCAUGAACCAGGUGCCCCCAUAGUCUGAGCCUCAGUCCACCCAUGGGUGGGGCCCCCACACUGGGGCGUUGGGUAGGGGUGGUGCCCAGAGCCUGCCUGAUCACCCCUGGGGAUCCUCUGACUCCUGCCCAGGUGUGCCGGGAGCAGUUUGUCCGCUUGCACAGCGAGCCCAUCCUGCAGGACCUGUCCAGGUUCCUGGUCAAGCGGUUCUGCUCUGAGCCCCAGAAGAUCUUGGAGGCCAGCCAGCUGAAGGAGACACUGCAGGCGGUGCCCAAGCCAGGGGCCUUCGAUCUGGAGCAGGUGAAGCGUUCCACCUACUUUUUCAGCUGACACCCCGUGAGCCUUGUGUCAGUGUGUAAAUAAAGCUCUUUUGCCACC